GGUCCUUGCUGCAGCUUUUCCAGGGACUGCUACUCUGCCCUAACCCUGCCCAGGCUCGCCCGGCUCGCCAGCCUUGCAGGUCAUCCUUUGGCUGUCCUGUCAUGACUGCUGGCCUCCACCUUUGGGCCCUUUCUGUGCAGGCCUGGCUGAAGGCCUACUGGGCUGAGAGUAAGCAAAGGCAGGACAGCCCUUCUCUGUAGACACUCCUCUAUGCCAAGGUACACCAGACCGUCGCAUGGAUGCAGGAGACACCCACCAGCCCCUGGCUCUGCCCAUGCUAAGCCUCAACUCCAGCCUCGAACCUGCCUGUGCUGGACACCCACACCCACAGUGAGCCACACCCACAGUGCCCUUGCCAUCCUGCAUCCCCCUAUGGUGUCACUGCCCCAACCCACCCACCCAUCUGGUGGCUUGAAGUUUGGGUCAGUAGAGUCUUUAAGGAAGGGGAUCAGAUUUGAGACCCAACACUUCCCUGCUAAUUUUGCUUUUAAAACGGUGAAAACUUGUCCCCAGCUCCAAAAAAAAGAAAG
rnacentral:lncRNA from 1 species